rnacentral:rRNA from 1 species
AACGAACGCUGGCGGCAUGCCUAACACAUGCAAGUCGAACGAAGUCUUCGGACUUAGUGGCGCACGGGUGCGUAACGCGUGGGAAUCUGCCCUUGGGUACGGAAUAACUCAGAGAAAUUUGUGCUAAUACCGUAUAAUGUCUUCGGACCAAAGAUUUGUCGCCCAAGGAUGAGCCCGCGUAAGAUUAGCUAGUUGGUGAG